UGGGUGGAUGGGUGAUAGGGUGGUAGAUACCGUAGGUAGAUGGUAGGGUGGUUGAUACAGUAGGUAGAUGGUAGGGUGGUAGAUACAGUAGGUAGAUGGUAGGGUGGUAGAUACAGUAGGUAGAUGGUAGGGUGGUAGAUACAAUAGGUAGAUGGUAGGGUGGUAGAUACAGUAGGUAGAUGGUAGGGUGGUAGAUACAGUAGUUAGGUUGUAGGGUGGUAGAUACAGUAGUUAGAUGGUAGGGUGGUAGAUGGUAGGGUGGUAGAUACAGUAGGUAGAUGGUAGGGUGGUAGAUACAGUAGACAGAUGGUAGGGUGGAAGAUACAGUAGGUAGAUGGUAGGGUGGUAGAUAUAGUAGGUAGAUGGUAGGGUGGUAGAUACAGUAGGUAGAUGGUAGGGUGGUAGAUACAGUAGGUAGAUGGUAGGGUGGUAGAUACAGUAGGUAGAUGGUAGGGUGGUAGGGUGGUAGAUACAGUAGGUAGAUGGUAGGGUGGUAGAUACAGUAGGGAGAUGGUAGGGUGGUAGAUACAGUAGGUAGAUGAUAGGGUGGUAGAUACAGUAGGUAGAUGGUAGGGUGGUAGAUACAGUAGGUAGAUGGUAGGGUGGUAGAUACAGUAG
ensembl:lncRNA